GACGAACGCUGGCGGCGUGCCUAACACAUGCAAGUCGAGCGAAUGAAGUUCCUUCGGGAAUGGAUUUAGCGGCAGACGGGUGAGUAACACGUGGGCAACCUGCCUCAUAGAGGGGAAUAGCCUUCCGAAAGGGAGAUUAAUACCGCAUAAGAUUGUAGUAUCGCAUGAUACAGCAAUUAAAGGAGCAAUCCGCUAUGAGAUGGGCCCGCGGCGCAUUAGCUAGUUGGUGAGGUAACGGCUCACCAAGGCGACGAUGCGUAGCCGACCUGAGAGGGUGAUCGGCCACAUUGGGACUGAGACACGGCCCAGACUCCUACGGGAGGCAGCAGUGGGGAAUAUUGCACAAUGGGGGAAACCCUGAUGCAGCAACGCCGCGUGAGUGAUGACGGCCUUCGGGUUGUAAAGCUCUGUCUUCAGGGACGAUAAUGACGGUACCUGAGGAGGAAGCCACGGCUAACUACGUG
rnacentral:rRNA from 1 species